rnacentral:rRNA from 1 species
ACGGGGUGCAGCAGGCGCGAAACCUUUACACUGCACGCACGUGGGAUAAGGGGACUCCGAGUGCGAGGGCAUAUCGUCCUCGCUUUCGUGUACCGUAGGUGGUACACAACAAGGGCUGGGCAAGACCGGUGCCAGCCGCCGCGGUAACACCGGCAGCCCGAGUGAUGGCCGCUUUUAUUGGGCCUAAAGCGUCCGUAGCCGGCCGUUCAGGUCCGUCGGGAAAUCCACUGGCUCAACCAGUGGGCGUCCGGCGGAAACCGAUCGGCUUGGGACAGGGAGACCAGAGGGGUACGUCCGGGGUAGGAGUGAAAUCCUGUAAUCCUGGACGGACCACCGGUGGCGAAAGGCCUCUGGAGAACUGAUCCGACGGUGAGGGACGAAAGCUGGGGUCUCGAACCGGAUUAGAUACCCGGGUAGUCCCAGCUGUAAACAAUGCUCGCAUGGUGUGUCGCAGGCUACGAGCCUGGAUGGUGCCGUAGGGAAGCCGAGAAGCGAGCCGCCUGGGAAGUACGUCCGCAAGGAUGAAACUUAAAGGAAUUGGCGGGGGAGCACGGG